rnacentral:rRNA from 1 species
GACGAACGCUGGCGGCGUGCUUAACACAUGCAAGUCGAACGAAGUGGCGAACGGGUGAGUAACGCGUCAUCAACCUGCCCUUCAGAGGGGGACAACAGUUGGAAACGACUGCUAAUACCGCAUACUGAAGGAGGGGAUUGCGUCUGAUUAGCUAGUUGGAGGGGUAACGUCCCACCAAGGGGAAGAUCAGUAGCCGGGCUGAAAGGAGGGACCGCCACAUUGGGACUGAGACACGGCCCAGACUCCUACGGGAGGCAGCAGUGGGGGAUCUUCCGCAAUGGACGAAAGUCUGACGGAGCAACGCCGCGUGAGUGAUGACAGCCUUCGGGUUGUAAAGCUCUGUUAAUCGGGACGCGGUACCGGAAUAGAAAGCCACGGCUAACUACGUGCCAGCAGCCGCGGUAAUAC